UGUAUGGUAUGUCAUUGUAAGCAAAGUUAACAGCGAUUACAAGGUUUGUUUAAUUUCUUUAAAGUGUUUUAUGCACCGUCGUACAUAGCCACUAUUUAGCUCAUAAAUAGACCGACUACGAACAAACCAUGUUUAGCCCAAAAUAACCUUGAAUUUAAUAAAAUUUUGUUUUUGCCAAAAUAACUUGCAAGAAUUAUGAUAUUUUAUCAGGCAUGCAAAGACACCAGUGAAAUUAAGAUGUUUGGUUUUAUUUAUCUUAUCUGAAUAUCUGCUGUCACGCAUAACAUUCAUUAUUUGACCGUAUUUCAAAGAUAAACAAAAUCCAGUUACAACUCCGAACCGCUAGAUGGCAGCAGUACACAAACACGGGGCCAAAUCUCACGAGAAAGAUUUCCGCUUUUUGAAAAGCAACAACAUCAGCGAGCAGCCACGAGGAAAGUAUGUACCACACUCGUUUGGUCUUAGAGCUCAACUGUGGCAUGGUUAAAGGCUGAAAGGGCUUGAAGACACUGUGCGAUUGCUUCAAACUGUCCACUGUUCAAGGGUGUCACAUUGGUGUUUAAUGAUGUUAGAGCAGCACCAACUGCUUCACGUUCUUCAUAUAUUCUUUGGAGCAUAAAAAAUGUGCUGUUCCACCUUGUUUCCACCUCUUGAAUCAGUUUCUUCUUCGGUCUGCCCAUCUGCUGCUGAAUUGCUGACAGUUUCUCAGUGGCAUUUGUGCUGCAUCUAAAGAAGGUAACAACUCUUCUGCAGUGAUCUCGAAUGGCACUAAGAUCUGCUGUUUGAGAGAGGGCAUUUUUUACAACCAGAUUUAAGGACUCCAGCAAAAUGGACUUUGCUUCUUUGAUGUGCUCUGCUGUGUGGGUUUCAGGAAACUUCAAAACUCCCAGCACAACACUACACAACUUCUCUUCAUUGAUAUAAUGGCAUGUUACUGCAAGCAACCAUGUUCUUCAGCCCAUGCCUUGAUGGAAGCACAUAUGUUGGAUCCAGUUUCUGCACAAAAGCCCUGAAGCCCUCGUCCUCCACCAUGGAAAAUGGCUGGGAAUCCUUCACUAUCAUGUCCACCAGAGCCUCAUCAAUGUCCCUUUGCCUUGCUGGAAAAUUGAAAAAUAAAAUUUCAUUAUUUAAACUUUGUCAUUAUUUCA